rnacentral:rRNA from 1 species
GCUUGUCUCAAAGAUUAAGCCAUGCAUGUCUAAGUAUAAACGACUUUAUACUGUGAAACUGCGAAUGGCUCAUUAUAUCAGUUAUAGUUUAUUUGAUGGUCCUUGCUACUUGGAUAACCGUAGUAAUUCUAGAGCUAAUACAUGCAUUAAACCCCGACUUCUGGAAGGGGUGUAUUUAUUAGAUGGAAACCAAUGCGGGGUAACCCGGAAUAUGGUGAUUCAUAAUAACUUUCGGAUCGAUUUAUCGAUGCAUCAUUCAAGUUUCUGCCCUAUCAAUUUGAUGGUAGGAUAGAGGCCUACCAUGGUGGUAACGGGUGACGGAGAAUUAGGGUUCGAUUCCGGAGAGGGAGCCUGAGAAACGGCUACCACAUCCAAGGAAGGCAGCAGG